rnacentral:pre_miRNA from 1 species
AAACUGCACCCUAAGUUUUGCAACUGUAGCAGUUUUAGCCCCCAAGGCCAAUUUUCGGUAAAAAAUAAAAAUAAAAAUAACAUGUGGCACCUCACUUAGGGUGCCAUGUCAGCGUAGACCGAGUCAAAAUUGGCCUUGAGGGCCAAAACUGCCACAGAUGGAAAACUUAGGGGCGGUUU